rnacentral:tRNA from 1 species
GCCAGCAUGGCGUAGUGGUUUGAGCAUUGGACUACAACUCUGAAGACUAGGGUUCAAUUCCCAGCUCGGUCA